GCCGUCCGCCCGCAGGAGGGCAGCGGCACCGCGCGGCUCCUGGGCUGCUGAGAUGGCGGCCGCCUCCCGAGGUGGAGAGAAGGCAGAUUUCUGCUCCCAGAGGUGGGAAAUGUCGCUCAGGACGCAAUGCGGCGUUAUAUGAUAAACCACAUAUGAUACACCUGAUGGGAUUCAUCAGACUUACUUGAGCUUGUCCAAAAAUGAAACAUCUGGUUGAAGAUAUUUUUUCAGCUUAUUCAGGGCUGAAAUGAAUCAUUGUCAAGAGGUACAUGCACCUCCAGCAGGUGAUUCAUCCCUUGCCAGGGUGCUGAGACUCUCUUGAGGAUAGUGUGCUGAUUGACCGCAAAGUCUGUAAAGGCAGGUACAAUAGAGACAAGUAAAUCAACCUCAGGUGUUCUUGGAAACAUUAUUUUGUAGAGGAGGAAAGCACCUCUUUGUUUUCUGCUUUGUAUUUCCAAUCCUGAUCUUCUGCCAGAGAAAGCACUCCUACCAGAAAUGCUGAUUCAUGAUGUUGAGAGAAGAUAGAAAUGACACAACUGAGGGGAAGAGGGAGAAGGAGUUCAGCUACACGUGUUGCUCCCCAGCCUCUAUCUCUGUCUGUUCAGCCUGUUCUCUGCUGCAUUCAGUAUCAGUAGGAUACAAGAGUGGCCAGAUGCUGGCCAAUGAGACUGUCUACAGAAAAGAUAAGUAGAUUAUACAUGAACCUACCAGUAUAUUUAUGACAGCUGUGUUACAUAUAGAUCUUUUGGAGACUAAAUUAUUACUACAGCUCUAGGGAUCAGUCACUCAGAAAAGGGACACUGCUGUUGCAGAAUGCUGUAGCUUUUGUAACAGGCUAUCAUUUGUCCCUUUAUAUUGAAACCCAUUUUUAGCCCACUUUAGAGUAGGAAAGCAGCUGUGGCAUUUGUGUGUUUUUUAUUGGCAGGCAGUUACUUCUUAAUGCUGAUGAGGUUAGAGGUUAAAAGCCAAAUAUCUGUUCAAUUCUAGCCAUCUAUUACAAAGCAGAAUUUAUAUACUGUGAAAUUUGGGUUGGCAGAAAUCAUUAAAAAAAAAAAGAAGAAGAAGAAGAAGAAGGGAAUUAAGCUGUAAAGGUGUGCCAACUCUCUUACAAGAACAGACUUAUCAUUUGUGGAAAAUACACCUACCAGAAGGCAUAGUAAAAAUGGUGGAAAAGUUACUUAAGCUGCCAGUUAUAAAAUAGCUACCUUCUGUCCAGAACUGUCCAUGCCAAAAAAGAUUUACCAGGAAAGAAAUCCCUGGAAAAGAGCACUUCUGUAGAAAGGACCAAAACAUUACAGAAGUUUUUUUUUUUUUUCUUUCUAUUUUACUUCUCAUGUACCUCAGUUAUGAAAAAAAAUCUCCAACAACAACAACAAAAAACUCAACAAUUUUUAAUUAAGUACAGAUGAAGAGCAGAGAGAUGUGCACCCUUCAGUAGAAGACUGAAAAGCACCCAGCGUUGAGAAAGUACCACUGAGGGACAUGGAGAUGAAACCAGCAUAGUCCAGAGUCUGUUCCAUGGCUCUCUUCUCCAGAAGUAUGUGUUCACUUGAAAAAGUCUUAAAAGAACAAAAAGCCUUUUGGGAAUUAGGAACAAGUUUACAAUUUCUACUCAUGGCUUCCCAUCUGCAAACACCAUUGUCAUUACUCAUCUAAUUUUCCAUAGAAAGAAGAUUGAUGCAGGGAUCCUAUCUUUCAGGUCAACAUGCUCUCCUAAAUGCUAGUCGGACAAGAACACUGAAAACAAAAUGAUCCAUUUCAUUACUAAUUUCAUCUUAAUUUCUGAAUGUCAUAUAUGCUUUUUUAAAAAUCUUCAGAGUAUUAGUGUUUCUCUGCCAUUGAUAAACUUUAGUUUUACUCAUAAUGAGAUAAGGGUCUCUUUUUUUCAGAUAAGACAACUGAGGCUGAGAAGGAAAUUGAUUAUCUGUUAAUUUUAGUAUCUGUAUGUGACUUUUUGAAGAACUUAGCAUUACUAAGCCCUUUGUGUAUAUAUAUAUAAAUAACCUCACUAAAAAGUUUCUCUAAAGGAUUAUUGAUCCAGGGUUAGGAAAGUGGCUAUGCUGCUUUCAACAUGGCAUUAUACAUUAAUAUUUAAGGUAUCUAUUCCACAGAUUUCCUUGUAAAUCAAUAUUUAAAACAUGUAUACCACCAAAUUCAGUUGCAACAGUGAGUCCUCAGCAUUUCUGCAAAUCUAGCAUCCAAAUUACAAGUCAACCAACUAGAAAACAAGGAGACAAGUGGUGAACGCUUGUAAAAAUGAUGAUUUGAGUAACAUACCUAACAUCACAUGGAAGCACUCACGAUUGAUAUAACUCUUACUCUUCUUGAAGUUAUUACAUACCUUUCAGCAGAUGGAGUGAGAAAGUCCAGAAGUUUGUAAAGCUAAUGAUAUAUUGCUCCUUUAUUCAGAGCAGAUCCAUUCUGCACAAUUUAAAGGGAACACACUCCAUGGAAAAAGUUCUGACUAAUUUGAAGCUAGGAUAAAACAUACAGACAAUAAGAGUGAGUGAAUGGAGAUUGCAUGAGUGAACUUAAUUCUAGCAUCCUAUCCCUUGCGUCCUUGAUUCUCCAGCUGUUUUCAAACCUUGGCAGAGAUAAUUACUUCCUUCUUCCUUAAAUACCCAUGUCCAUUGGUCCUCCUGAAAUAUUUAACAAGGAAAGAUUAUGCUGAUAGCCAGCCUUAUCCUCUUACAAGCUUACACAGUAGCAGCAACACCCUCUAAUUAUGCCUUUAAGUCUCAGUGCCACACCAGUGAAACUCACUUGGCAGUGUGUAUACUGCUAGGUCCUGGAUUAUGGGUGGAGGCCAUCUUGACUGUCGCAGUAAUUGUUGCUAUCUGCUCUUACUGUCCUUUCAUUCUGCAUGUCAACUAGUUGGGAAAGACUAGAUACCAAAAGCUCACUUUACUUACAUCCUGUGUGGGAUAUUUAAUGAUGUUGGAAGUUAUGCCCUUCUGAGGAUAGGAAGCAUCAUGAUAGCACUAAUCUUUCAUGCUGCAGAAGAUUUUCUUGUGAGAUUGCUUCACCAGCAUUCAAACAAGGUAUAUCACAAGCUAGUUCACCCUGAAUAUUAAUAUCGAAAGAAAAUAGAGAGGAAAAAGCCUAGGAUACACCAAAAAAAGAACAGAGAAAACCUUCACAAAACAUGAAGAAUAACAGAAUAGGAUGCACAUAAUGCAUUUGGGAGAUUUCAAUCUCAGACUCCAUAGCAUCAAAAGAAAUGUGCCUCUUUUAAAAUAAAUGCAACAUAUUAGAAGGAGAGAGAUGAAUACUAGAAUUUAAGCACAGUUAAAAGACGUUUAUUACAGACAGUUAUCUAAUCUGGAAAAGAAUUAAGCAAUAUUUCUAGACAAACUUAAUUGAAUCCAGGAGGUAAUAACACUUGAAGUUCUUUGACUUGAAAAUCAAGUUGGGCAUUAGCAAUUGUUUGAAAUCACAAAGGACUAUGUUUUAAGUGGAGUGCAAUGGUGGCGUUUUUAAAUGCAUGCAUGUAAGUAGCUGGUAUAGACGUUGCUUCAUAUUUUUCAGGUGAUUAGAUUCUGUUGCUUCAACAAGUCUGAGGGAGGUGUGUUCAAGAAAACUGAUGCAGACUUCAUUACUGGAAGCAAGUGUUGAUCAAGUGAUACAGCAGACAGACAACAUUUCACUUGCAGAAUUGCAGUACAACAAAGAAGCUACAUCUUUCUGGUUAUUUUCAACAUUUCUUUUCUAAACAGAUGACUGGCAGAUGAUUUCUGCCUACUCUAUCUACAUCAAGCAGAGAAGUGUGGACACUGUUGAGAAUCCGCUGAUCUAAGCUCUGCAGAGCUCAUGCAGCUCUAUACAUUUAAUACAUUACUUGAUGCUGUCAGUGUAAUGACUCCCAUCACAUUUGCUCACCACUGGCUUGAUCACUAGCUUUAGCCUCAGGAAAAUUUAUUUUGGGAUUCCUUUUCUCUUCACUGCCAAUGGCCGUGACUGUAUUGCUACUGGUGUCUGGAGAAGCACAAGGAAAUGCCACCUGUAAAGAUCUAUGGAGGUCAUAUAAUAUAAUCCUAAAAGCCAUCUAAGGAGUAGAGGAUAGCAGCUAUACUGUCCAGAGGGCAGUACUGAUAUCUGGUUUGUAUAUUAAGCUAGAAGAUUCUUCCUGGAAAAGAACUGUAUAAGGAGAAAGGGAACUGAAAUUUAGCCAUGGAGCAAAGUCUGAACAAAUCUAAUGAGAACUGCAAUUGCAUCCUUGGUGAGCAAGGUGGUUUACAGGUACUUGCUUCUCCUAAUGAAGAGGGAAUGCAAGAAGAUGGAGGUGAAAGAUCAGCAUGCCCAAGUACAGUAUCUACUGUUACACUGAUAAUAGCCACAGACAAUACUUUUCAACAUUCAAUACAUUCCCUCUUGGUAUUAGUUGAAAUAUAGUCAUUAAAGCAAAAUAUUUGUAUUUUAGCCUUACAGUUUAUGGCAUUUAUUUGCCUAGUGAAUGUUCUGAUUUUGUUGCAAUUCUAGCAUUUACAAUGUACUUUUCAGAAGAAGAAAGGAUUUUAAAUGUUUCUGAUAAUAAACAGAUUUGGAGCAUCAGCAUUUUUGGCUGGGCCUAUAUUACAGAGCUUGCAAUAGGGAUGCAACUACUCUCUCCUGCUAAUACUAUUUUGAAACACAUCUACUGUCAUUCUUUCUAAGUAACUAUUGUCAACUGUCAAACUCACCUGAACUGUAGUUCAUAGAAUCACAGAAUCAUAGAAUCAUAGAAUGGCCCAGGUAGAAAAGGACUACAGUGAUCAUUUAGUUUCAACCCCACUGCUGUGUGCAGGGUCACCAACCACUAGACCAGGCUGCCCAGAGCUACAUCC
ensembl:lncRNA